AUGCAAGUCGAGCGGACAGAUGGGAGCUUGCUCCCUGAUGUUACCGGCGGACGGGUGACUAACACGUGGGUAACCUGCCUGUAAGACUGGGAUAACUCCGGGAAACCGGGGCUAAUACCGGAUGCUUGUUUGAACCGCAUGGUUCAAACAUAAAAGGUGGCUUCGGCUACCACUUACAGAUGGACCCGCGGCGCAUUAGCUAGUUGGUGAGGUAACGGCUCACCAAGGCAACGAUGCGUAACCGACCUGAGAGGGUGAUCGGCCACACUGGGACUGAAACACGGCCCAGACUCCUACGGGAGGCAGCAGUAGGGAAUCUUCCGCAAUGGACGAAAGUCUGACGGAGCAACGCCGCGUGAGUGAUGAAGGUUUUCGGAUCGUAAAGCUCUGUUGUUAGGGAAGAACGAGUACCGUUCGAAUAGGGCGGUACCUUGACGGUACCUAACCAGAAAGCCACGGCUAACUACGUGCCAGCAGCCGCGGUAAUACGUAGGUGGCAAGCGUUGUCCGGAAUUAUUGGGCGUAAAGGGCUCGCAGGCGGUUUCUUAAGUCUGAUGUGAAAGCCCCCGGCUCAACCGGGGAGGGUCAUUGGAAACUGGGGAACUUGAGUGCAGAAGAGGAGAGUGGAAUUCCACGUGUAGCGGUGAAAUGCGUAGAGAUGUGGAGGAACACCAGUGGCGAAGGCGACUCUCUGGUCUGUAACUGACGCUGAGGAGCGAAGGCGUGGGGAGCGAACAGGAUUAGAUACCCUGGUAGUCCACGCCGUAAACGAUGAGUGCUAAGUGUUAGGGGGUUUCCGCCCCUUAAUGCUGCAGCUAACGCAUUAAGCACUCCGCCUGGUGAGUACGGUCGCAAGACUGAAACUCAAAGGAAUUGACGGGGGGCCCGCACAGCGGGUGAAGCAUGUGGUUUAAUUCGAAGCAACGCGGAGAACCUUACCAGGUCUUGACUUCCUCUGACA
rnacentral:rRNA from 1 species